rnacentral:rRNA from 1 species
UGGGGAAUAUUGCACAAUGGGCGAAAGCCUGAUGCAGCAACGCCGCGUGAGUGAUGAAGGCCUUCGGGUUGUAAAGCUCUGUCUUUUGGGACGAUAAUGACGGUACCAAAGGAGGAAGCCACGGCUAACUACGUGCCAGCAGCCGCGGUAAUACGUAGGUGGCAAGCGUUGUCCGGAUUUACUGGGCGUAAAGGAUGCGUAGGCGGAUUUUUAAGUGAGAUGUGAAAACCCUAAGCUUAACUUGGGGACUGCAUUUCAUACUGGAAAUCUAGAGUGCGGGAGAGGAGAAUGGAAUUCCUAGUGUAGCGGUGAAAUGCGUAGAGAUUAGGAAGAACGCCAGUGGCGAAGGCGAUUCUCUGGACCGUAACUGACGCUGAGGCAUGAAAGCGUGGGUAGCAAACAGGAUUAGAUACCCUGGUAGUCCACGCCGUAAACGAUGAGUACUAGGUGUAGGAGGUAUCGACCCCUUCUGUGCCGCAGUUAACACAAUAAGUACUCCGCCUGGGAAGUACGAUCGCAAGAUUAAAACUUAAAGGAAUUGAC